rnacentral:rRNA from 1 species
GACGAACGCUGGCGGCGUGCUUAACACAUGCAAGUCGAACGGAAAGGCCCUGCUUUUGUGGGGUGCUCGAGUGGCGAACGGGUGAGUAACACGUGAGUAACCUGCCCUUGACUUUGGGAUAACUUCAGGAAACUGGGGCUAAUACCGGAUAGGAGCUCCUGCUGCAGUGUGGGGGGGGGAAAGUUUCGGCGGGUGGGGAUGGACUCGCGGCUUAUCAGCUUGUUGGUGGGGUAGUGGCUUACCAAGGCUUUGACGGGUAGCCGGCCUGGGAGGGUGACCGGCCACAUUGGGACUGAGAUACGGCCCAGACUCCUACGGGAGGCAGCAGUGGGGAAUAAUGCACAAUGGGCGGAAGCCUGAUGCAGCAACGCCGCGUGCGGGAUGACGGCCUUCGGGUUGUAAACCGCUUUCGCCUGUGACGAAGCGUGAGUGACGGUAAUGGGUAAAGAAGCACCGGCUAACUACGUG